rnacentral:lncRNA from 1 species
UAAAUCAGGAAACUGGGAGCUGCUUCCUAGAGAUGCUCCUUUCCAGGAGCUUCAACGAAUGCUCGGGAAGGAUUCCCAACUCCAGCGAGCAGCCUGGGCUGGAUGACUGGCUGGUUGUGUGCGUGGUCCUUUGGUUGGGUUUUGGUUGUGGUUGGUUGUUGGUUGUAUCCUUUCUUCAUUCAUUUGUUUGUUGGCCAACGGUUGGUCGGUCAUUGGUUGGGUUUUUGGUCAUUGGUUGGAUUUUUGGUCAUUGGUCGGUCAUUGGUUGGGUUUUUGGUCAUUGGUCAGUCAUUGGUUGGGUUUUUGGUCAUUGGUUGGGUUUUUGGUCAUUGGUUGGGUUUUGAUCCUUGGUUGUUGGUUGGCUGGUUCAUUUGUUCAUCCUUGGUUGGUUGGUUGGUCUUUGGUUGGUUGGUUCUUAUUGUUGCUUGGUUGUUGGUUGGGUUUUGGUUGUUUGCUGUCGAUUGGUUGGUCAUUGGCUAGUUGGUUAUUGGCUGAUUGGUUUUUGGUUGGUUGGUCACUGGCCAUUGGUUGGUUGGCCAUUGGUUGUUUGCCCAUUGGUUGCCCAUUGUUUGGUUGCCCAUUGGUUGGUUGGUGGUUGGUUGGCCAUUGGUUGGUUGGUCAUUGGUUGCCCAUUGGUUGGUUGGCCAUUGGUUGGCCAUUGGUUGGUUAGUCAUUGGUUGGCCAUUGGUUGGUUGGCCAUUGGUUGCCCAUUGGUUGGUUGGCCAUUGGUUUGUUGCCCAUUGGUUGCCCAUUGGUUGGUUGGUGGUUGGUUGGCCAUUGGUUGGUUGGCCAUUGGUUGGUUAGUCAUUGGUUGGCCAUUAGUUGGUUGCCCAUUGGUUGCCCAUUGGUUGGUUGGCCAUUGGUUGGUUGCCCAUUGGUUGGCCAUUGGUUGUUUGGCCAUUGGUUGGUUGCCCAUUGGUUGCCCAUUGGUUGCUUGGUUGUUUCCCCAAAGCCAAGGCCGGUUUUGAACGCCCUGGCUGUUCCCAGUUUUCCAAAGAUCCGGCUCCUGGGGCUCAUUCCCAGUGUCCCGGACACUCCAUGGAGAGGACUCCGUGUCCCAUUUCAGGACGACACCGACAUCAACAUCGACUGCGCCGGGGACGACAGACACCCCACCAGGAGGGUGUGCAACGUCAGCUACCCCUUCUUCCGAGCCAAGGCCAAGGUAGGACAUUCCCAACUUCCCACUGGGCUGCCACGUGGACCUUCUGCCCGCGGGGUCACAUCUGGGCAACCCCGAGCAGGAUUUUGAGGAGAAACUUUUGGGUUCUUCCCUUUUGGAGCUUGAAAGGCAUCUCAGGGGAGCUGGGAUGUUUGGGAUCCUGCCCUGGUGCUCAGGAGAGCCCCAGAAUCCAACCCAGCUUCUCCAGGUGACAGAAUUUGCCUCAAAUCCUCUGGAAAAAUUUAAUGUUUGCUUCAAACCACGGAUGGGAAUUUCCCUGGGCUGAUUCCCUGCAGGAUGAGGCUCCUUGCCCACCUG